AAAGAAUCCUUGCUGCAAGAGGCUCCAGAAGCAGGGCCUUUCUCCCGCCACCCCCAUGCUCACGCCACCACCAGACCACACACACACACACACACUUGGUCCUGUCCACCCAAACACUCCGUUUCCUGUCUCUGGCGUGUGGUGUGGACUGGCCUGGCCACCUUUCCAGCCGUCGCACCCCUGAUCUCUCUCCGUGUCGUUUCUUCUCAGUCCCUGACUUCUCACCUCAAUCUCCAGGCCCAAGCCUCAGAAGAUGAAGAGGGCCGAUUUGGGAUAAAAGGUGGUUCAGAAAAGGACGAGAGCAUCAAAGGAGCACACAAGAUAACAACGCCCAGAAGACAGUGGUCCAGACUUAAGUCACGCUCUCCAGGAUUCAUUCCACAACGUUCUCCGGCCCUGCACGCAGCUCCGGCCCCUGGAAGUCUUGUUCAUUUCUUAUGAGGAGCAGUUUGGCUCUGGGCCUCACCUGGCAAAGCCACAGUACUUUCUCUUAUACCUAAAAUGUCCCCAGGAUGCCUCAUUAAACAGAGUCCCCGUCCAGCACUGCCAGAGGUAGAGUGCCUGGCAGAAGCUUUCAACUUUCCUUGAACCCGAUCUACUUUCUUGGGCAAGGAGCUCUCCUGGCCAGUAUCUGUGAGCAAGAGGAAUAGCGUGGGAAUUUAUCACUUCUGAUAUAAAUGUUGCCAUCUCGCCUGGGAACCAGAACUGAACGGGAGGUUGCUUUUAUAUGGAGUGAAGUUAAAAGCUGGAACUUAUAAAUUUAUCCUAAUAAAAUGUUGCUCUUGGGGUUCACUAGAAAUAUGGGGUUCCGGGAGCUCCUGUUGUGGCUCAGUGGAAAUGAACUGGACUAGUAUCCAUGAG